GUUUGUGCUAAAGGUUAUCGCUCUCAGUGGCAGUGUGUGGCAACUGACUAAUGAGAAUCCAGCAGCCCUCAACAACCACAGAUUCAUCUUUGAGCAUGUCAUCAGGCCAGUCUGCAAUCUGCUGUUUUCAGGAAGAUUUGAAGUGGGCUGAGCCCAGGGGUUUGCUUUAAAUACAGCCAGAUCGCCCUUUGGGUGGAAACUGCAUACUCUUCUCUUGCUUCCUGACACACACGCUUUAUGUAAGGUACUGGCUCAACCAUGCUGAGAAAGAGGUUGAUCUUUUCCACACUGUUGGCUCUGAUUCUGGUCAAUCUGAUAAAUGUGCAAGAGGCAUUUGUUAUCCCUCUAUCUACAGGAUCAAGCAUAGAAGCACAGAGCACGGGGCCAGCCACGGGGCCCAGCACGGGGCCAGCCACGGAGCCUAGCUCAGAGCCAGCCACGAAGCCCAGCAUGGGGCCAGCCACAGGGCCAGCCACAGGGCCAGCCACAGAGCCUAGCACGGGGCCCAGCUCAGGGCCAGCCACAGAGCCCAGCUUGGAGCCAAGCUCCACGUCAAGUGUGGAACCAAGCACUGAGCCCAACCACAAAGAAAAUGAAGAGCUCAGUGGAGAUCCCUGCAUUGAAGAAAGUGAGGAGUCCAGUGGAGAACCCAGCCCAGAUCCAAUUACAGAGUCGACCAGAAACCCAAGUGUAGAACCAAGUACGGAGCCAAACACAGAACUACCCUAAUAACCUCAUCAGCAGAGUAUAACCAUCCCUUCCUGACAACUUCAGCUUCCUGGAAGAAAAAUUCUAGAUGAUGGCAUGUCAAAGCUAAAUUCAAUAUACUUGUUGAAGCUACAGCUCAUAGAAAGUUAGCCACACCUGUUUGGGUUUUAACACAAUCACUUAAUCCAUUCCCAUGUAUUCUGUUUAUAAUUUUAUUUAAUUCUGACUGGUUAGACAAAUGAGGGCUGAUGUGUGGCAUUUGGACUGCAACACUUCCCUUCCCUUGCAAGUUCAUCAUUCCCUGCUGGUAGUCUUGUUCUCCUUGCAUAACAGUAAUAAGUACAUACUUACAUGCAUAAAAAUGUCAUUAGGGUAGUGUGUCUUGUUAUUGUCAAAACUUCUAUCCAAUCAUUUGCUAAAACUAGUUAGGUUUUUUUCUAACUUUCCACACAAAGUGACUCCAAGUACUAUUUAUUGUUAAUCUAUGAAUAAGCCCAUGCGCUGAGCUGGAAGGAGAGGGUGGGUGGGUGGAUAUGGGUAUGUGUGAAUACCUUCACAUAAACCCCAGCAGUGACCCUACAGCCACACUUCCUAUUUUCAUACUCAGUUCUGGAGAGUUCAAGCUCCCUCCAUUCCUGAACAUGACAUUCCGAUACAGGAAUGUUGGCCUGGAAACUGCAGUACAGUAGCUAAAGGCUACUUACAGAACAAACAGUGACACAGGAGUUUCCCACAUUGUCUUUCCAUGGUGACCAACAAUAGUAUGAAAUGUUGACUCCUUUUUUUAACCUCUUUACCUACAAGAAUGCCAAUUAUUGCCAAGCACAGACAUGCUAUGCAGAAAUACUUUUUGUUUUCUUGUUCAGACUUCCAAACCAAGUAGUGAGCAAACAUCAGAAAUAAUAUCUCCUGAAGUACAGGUUAAAAAAAAAAAACAAAACCAAACAACAGGCAGGUAGAGGGAAGGGAAAAUUACUUUUGAGUGAGAUUUCAGACGGGUUAUUAAAAACAGGAAGAUGAGUAAAUAUGCAUAAGACCCAGCCCUGACAGCAUCCAAUUUAACACUUUAGGUAAAUCUGCAAACUUAAAAUGAUUUCUUAAUAAACCAGCACAGGAGUAAGCUCAGUGCUGUCUAGAACAGAGAUGACUCCAGGUCCUUACAAUCACAUGCAAUAAAACAAUGCACACAGAAAGGACAACCUGAAGAACAAAAUGUUCCACAAUGCUCUGGUGAAUCUUGAUUUAAGAAUAACCACUUCCUAGAUGAACAGAUGACAGGUUUCCCAUAUAAGGUGCAUUUGCAGUGAAGCAACAAAGAGUUUUCACUGUCCUCACAUCCUCCAACUGCUUAUGACAGGUCAGACAGAACAGCCCCAUAUGCUCAGAGGUGACUAGGAGCCAGAAACCCUGGCUAGUAGUACCAGGUAUGUAACCCUCAUUUAAUUUCAAUCUUCCAGUCCCUCAUCUGUAAAAGUUAUAGUGCUACUACUUCCCUACCCCAGCCCAGAUAUUCUCAGCCUUUAAUACAUGUGAAUCACUGAAAUCCUUCACUAGAAGGUAAUUCAGAAGCACGGAUUAUUACAGUAACAUUUUUUUAGCUCCAACCCAUUUUAUGUUGAACUAUACUUUGUAAUAUACUUUCAACCGAUGAAAAAUGCAUUUUUGUUUUGCCAAACUAGAAAACUGCUGAAAGGGAAAUGGGCCUAAAGUCUUGCGUCAAUUUGUUUAUGGCACCAAAUCAAUGUGAAGACAUAUGAAGUAAUAAAAAGGACUCAAAGUUG